AAGGCGCAAUGAAAGUGAAAGGAGGGCGGGCGGCCGCGCAAGCGGUCGUGCCGCCCCCCGGGGCCGAUCCCUGACCGGCCGAUGCCGGCGGUCUAUCCCAUACCAAAGCGAGGUCGACCGARGCGGUGCCAGUGUGCGAGGUGAGUCCCUUUCCCUCGCCCCACCGCUGGCCUCGUGGGUGGGCCGCGCGCUCGGUGGUCCGAGAGCAAUCUCGCCUGUACGCAGGGGGGCGCAGGCCCGGGACUUGCCAUGCGACGCCGUCGCGCGAAUCUGUUGUUGGCCUUGCCGGCUUUGCUUGGGCUCUCGGUUGGCGCGCCGCGUGUGCGGGCGGGUCCUCGGACUCGUCCCGCGCGCGGUCAGCGCCCUCCGAUCCUGCUCUGUCCGGCUUGGUCUAGCGCGCGUGCUGUCKGCAAGUACCACGARCAGACAUGUUGGGACCMGAAAGAUGGUGAACUAUGUCCUGGCCAGGA
rnacentral:rRNA from 1 species